UACAGAGGGUGCGAGCGUUAAUCGGAGUGACUGGGCGUAAAGGGCGCGUAGGCGGCGAGAUUAGUCUGAUGUGAAAUACCCGGGCUUAACCUGGGAUGUGCAUUGGAAACGGUCUGGCUAGAGUAUGAGAGAGGGAAGUGGAAUUUCCGGUGUAGCGGUGAAAUGCGUAGAUAUCGGGAAGAACACUCGUGGCGAAGGCGACUUUCUGGCUCAAAACUGACGCUGAGGCGCGAUGGCGUGGGGAGCAAACAGG
rnacentral:rRNA from 1 species